GAUGAAGAACGUAGCAAAAUGCGAUAAGUAAUGUGAAUUGCAGAAUUCAGUGAAUCAUCGAAUCUUUGAACGCACAUUGCGCCCGCCAGUAUUCUGGCGGGCAUGCCUGUUCGAGCGCCAUUUCAACCCUCAAGCACAGCUUGGUGUUGGGACUCGCGUUAAUUCGCGUUCCCCAAAUUGAUUGGCGGUCACGUCGAGCUUCCAUAGCGUAGUAGUAAAACCCUCGUUACUGGUAAUCGUCGCGGCCACGCCGUUAAACCCCAACUUCUGAAUGUUGACCUCGGAUCAGGUAGGAAUACCCGCUGAACUUAAGCAUAUCAAUAAGCGGAGGA
rnacentral:misc_RNA from 1 species